CACUUUGUACUUCCAGAUGAGGCUUCUGUCAGUCCUCUGUCAGGGGGGCAGGCCCACACACCCCUCUAUCAUGGGUCAAAGAAUCUCACAUUGGUCUAAACCAAACCUCCUGUUGACCUGAUCAAAGGGAUGGUUUUCUAACAGACCCCUCUAAGACAUUCUGGGACUAACAUGAACCCUCUAAAGUGAGUCAGAUAGAAGACUUCAGACUUUGAAGACCAGGUCUGAAAGUGGACUCUUCAGACCUCAGCCCGCCCCUGGAGUCAGUCACAGGAAGUAAGAGUGAAGUCUCUGCGCCCCGGAGGUCUGCACAGCAGAGUGAUGAAUUUUACCAUGGAGCAAGAGCGCCACCUGGAGCUCUUUGAACGUCACGCUGAUUCUUCAUAACUGGAAUAGUCAGAUCCUGGAGCUCUGAAGACCGGUCUCCUGGGAGUGCAGCGUCCAUCCAGACUCAGAACGAAGAGAGCGAUCGUGUAACGAGGCGGGACAAACCUUCAGCUGUGGACGGACGCGUCCUUUAAAAAAGUGAAAUGUGGAUUUAUCUUUCUCCAUCAUGAGAUUGAAAUGCAGAGAGACUCUGUCCUGUUGAUCUUUAGAUUUACAUCUCGAAGUCCUCUGAUCUUUAACAGAAAGACUCCAAAGAGAAAGAAAAGAGACUUCUCUUCAGACUCCCCCUCUCUCUCUCUCUCUCUCUCUGUCUCUC